UUAUUUGAAUAUGCAAAGUGGAUCGCACCGUUUUCUGCACUUCUUUUGGCGUCAUAUUAAGUCUUGCCUUCAUUAACGGGAGAAUCACUUGGCAUAUGAGAUUUGAAGUACAAUUACGAUGCGCCGCAUUUAGCAUUGGAAUAACACAAGUCUGUUGACCCGCAUAUGUCUUAAAUCUGAAAUAUAUUGCAUCUUUAGGAACCGAAGCGUGUAAUCUCCAAGGACAUCCCUCAACUGUGCAUUUUACUGUAUAAGUUGUUUUGGUGGAUUUCAAAACCUUCAUCUGAACAUUGUGAGUAAUGUGCCAUCGAUCUAGAGCGUCCACUAAAGAUGCCUUAUCAUAAAAGAUUUGAUGAAGCCAAGUCCCGUCAAUACUAGGUAGAUCGGUAUUGAUACGUCUAAUAUCGAACUCACUCGAAUUCACAACAUACUGUUGUAUCCAAUUGUUAUCUGUAGGAAAUUGCUCCGGAUGGUCAAUAAAAUCAAGUUCCUCGUCAGGAUUAUCUACAUAUUCGUUGUUUACAUGUGGG
rnacentral:lncRNA from 1 species